rnacentral:rRNA from 1 species
UACAGAGGUCCCGAGCGUUGUUCGGAUUUAUUGGGCGUAAAGGGUGCGUAGGCGGCGGAGUAAGUUGGGUGUGAAAUCCCGGGGCUCAACCUCGGAAUUGCAUUCGAUACUGCUUCGCUCGAGUACUGGAGAGGAGGCUGGAAUUUACGGUGUAGCAGUGAAAUGCGUAGAUAUCGUAAGGAAGGCCGGUGGCGAAAGCGAGCCUCUGGACAGUUACUGACGCUGAUGCACGAAGGCCAGGGGAGCAAACGGG